rnacentral:miRNA from 1 species
CAAACUUGAUGGUGUUUAUGACGUCGAAUAUCGACGUUGUAAACACCAAACUUGAUGGUGUUUAUGACGUCGAUAUUCGACGUCAUAAACACCAAAC